rnacentral:rRNA from 1 species
UACGAAGGGGCUAGCGUUGCUCGGAAUUACUGGGCGUAAAGCGCACGUAGGCGGAUUGUUAAGUCGGGGGUGAAAUCCUGGAGCUCAACUCCAGAACUGCCUUCGAUACUGGCGAUCUCGAGUUCGGGAGAGGUGAGUGGAACUGCGAGUGUAGAGGUGAAAUCGUAGAUAUUCGCAAGAACACCAGUGGCGAAGGCGGCUCACUGGCCCGAUACUGACGCUGAGGUGCGAAAGCGUGGGGAGCAAACAGG